rnacentral:lncRNA from 1 species
GACCAUCCCCAGUGUUGACCUCUGGGUGAGGUACAUCUGAGACCCACUGGGCUUAGCUGCACAGAGGCAACCAGCAUGUCUGCCUAGGUGGGGCCUGCUCCUGAAACUCUUGAGAGUGCUCUGGCCCUCGGCCAGUGUGGUGCUGCAGCCUGGUGUCAUCUGUGACCUGCUGGGGGCAGUUCAAUGCCAGGCAGCUGAGCCAUCUCCUCCUGCCCCUUCUACCAUUACUGAGACCUUGGGACAGAGACCUGGCGAUAUCUGGAAGACGAAGCAGGUCCACGGGAGGGCUGCCAACAUGUGUGCCAGCAGAUGUUGUAUUCUAUCAGGGAGGUGGAGGGAGGAGGUCAGACCCCCUGCUGAGACGUUCAGGAUCCUUUCUGCUGAGAAUCUGUAUUCUGUGUAUCACCUGAGCAUCACCUGAGCAGACCUGGACUGGCACUCACAGAUCAUAGCCUGCUCAAAAGGGAGAUACACAUGCCCAUGCUGACCCCCCAGUUCACUUGUGCCACAUAGCAUGGGCAGAGCAAGGCUCCUUGGAGGUGACAGCAUCUCCCAGGUGGAGUGUGCCAUGAGGAGACCCAUCCACUCACCCACCUGCCCAGCACCCCGCACGAGGAGGCCUCAAUGCAGACACACUGGAGGCCGGGUGAGCUGCCUGGCUAUGCAGUCAGUCCUGUGUGCCCAUCUGGCCUUGAAGUCCCAGAGCUGGCACUUCUCUCCCAAGCUGUCCCCGGUGGUGCAGAUGGUGUGAUGGGAAGUGGGAUGGAAGGAAUCACAGUCAUAUGAACACAUUAUUGAGAGGAAGCCAGGGUGAUCCACGCUGAGAGAGGUGAAGCUAUGCCGCUGCUGAGCCUGGCGGGAGCAUUCUGGUAUUCCUGCGGCCUGGGACUGCCUGGGACAGCAGGCCUGACCCCAGCACUGAGGCUCAAGGAGUGCCACAUCCUGGCCGCAAGAGUCUUUGUUGGGCCAGGUGUUAGUCUUUGGGAUCCCCGUGCUGGGGCCAGCUGUGGGUUUCUUGGGGAGAACGAAAGUUCCAGAGACAGAGCCCUAUCAGAGCCAACUCAGGCCUG